rnacentral:misc_RNA from 1 species
UCGAAUGGUCUUGUACCUUCAUCACUCAAAACUGUGGAAGCGACAUGUGCUUCGGCGCUCCGGCGCCGUCUUUAUGCAUGAGUCUGUCUUGAUGUCUGAAUCGAACAAUGAAAAAGUCA